rnacentral:rRNA from 1 species
GCACAAUUUAAAUCCCUUAGCGAGGAACAUUUGGAGGGCAAGUCUGGUGCCAGCAGCCGCGGUAAUUCCAGCUCCAAUAGCGUAUAUUAAAGUUGUUGCAGUUAAAAAGCUCGUAGUUGAAUUUCAGCCCUGGCUGGGCGGUCCAGCCUCUUUCGUUGGUACUGCUUCUUGGCCGGGGUUUUCCCCUUCUGGUGAGACGGCAUGCUCUUAACUGGG